AAUCCGAGAAGGGCACGAUAGUAAAAUAACAUACCUAUCUUCUUCUUCUUUCAUUUUUUUUGCAGUGUUCAUGUUCUCUCUUUGAAACAGUUCAAUUCAAGCUCAGCUCCAUUAACAGACACACCACAAGCAUGCAGCUUCUUCCUUCUUCUUCUUCAAACCCUAAUCCUAUUCUCUUUUCCAGUUCUCAAAACCCUAUCCACCUCUCCAAAUCCACUCUCCACCUUAUCCCGCAUUGCUCUUCCGCACAUUCCACCACCACCGUUUUUUUCACUAACGAGAGGGCUCCGAAGAGGCAGCACCACGUAUCUUCUCCGGAAAGUGUUCUGGUGGCUCGCCGGCCGGAAUCGGCGGUCUCGGCCGGAGACGAAGAUAGUUUGAACUUGAGGGCAAUGAUUAACGCGGGAACUCCGAAAAUCACAGUUAAAUCUGGGUCAUCCUCCCAAGCUUUGUAUAAGGCUAAGGUUUUGAUCAGGAGUAACAGAUUUGCAGAAGCUGAGGAGAUUCUUCAAAAGUGUAUAUUUUAUUGGCCAGAAGAUGGGAGAGCUUAUGUGGUUUUGGGGAAGACUUUAAUCAAACAAUCAAAGACUAUGGAAGCUCGACUUGUUUAUGAGAAAGGUUCUCAAGCUACUCAUGGAAAGAAUCCCUUUAUCUGGCGGUGCUGGGCUGUUUUGGAGAAAACCUUGGGAAAUAUAAGGAGAGCAAGAGAAUUGUUUGAGGCUGCAACUGUUGUGGACAAGAGACACAUUGCUGCUUGGCAUGGUUGGGCAGAUCUUGAGCUGAAGCAAGGGAAUAUCAGGAAAGCAAGGUGUAUUCUAGCUAGAGCUCUUAAAUUUUGUGGAGGGAAUGAGUAUGUUUACCAAACUCUUGCAUUGCUAGAAGUUAAGGCUAAUCGUAUCGAGCAGGCUCGGUAUUUGUUCGGGCAGGCCACCAAGUGUAAUCCCAGAAGCUGUGGCAGUUGGCUGGCAUGGGCACAAAUGGAGAUGCAGCAGAAAAAUAACCGAGCUGCUAGACAACUCUUUGAGAAAGCUAUUCAGUCAAGUCCCAAGAACAGGUUUGCAUGGCAUGUAUGGGGAGUUUUUGAAGCCAAUGUUGGAAAUGUUGAUAAGGGAAGAAAGCUUUUAAAGAUAGGUCAUGAACUUAAUCCAAGGGAUCCUGUUCUACUUCAGUCUCUUGCUUUAUUAGAAUAUAAACACUCAACUGCCAAUUUUGCUCGAGUUUUGUUCAGGAGAGCAUCUGAAAUAGAUCCAAGUCACCAACCAGUAUGGAUGGCAUGGGGAUGGAUGGAAUGGAAAGAAGGAAACAUUGCCACAGCAAGGGAGUUAUACCAAAAGGCCCUGUCGAUUAACUCGUCUAGCGAUACUGCUGCUCGAUGCCUACAGGCUUGGGGAGUCCUAGAACAAAGAAUUGGUAACCUAUCUGCAGCUCGUAUAUUAUUUAGAUCCUCUCUAAAUAUAAAUUCUCAGAGUUUCAUCACAUGGAUGACAUGGGCAGCAUUUGAAGAGGAAGAUCAAGAAAAUUCAGUUCGAGCCGAGGAAAUUCGCAACCUCUAUUUCCAGCAAGUGAGCAACCACAAUUAAGUAUUCUAAUGUUUAUGCCAAAGACCAAGCAAUCCAUACUUGACAUUUUAAAGAAGAAAUUAAAGUUGUUAGACUAAAGACCAAUGUAGCACACCCUAAGAAUCCUUGAGAAGAAUGGCUGUGAUUACAUGGAUGAUGAACAAAAUGACAGUGGUUUCAAUUGGAUAUGCUUUUUAGACCCUAGCAAGGUGGACUUUCUGUUGGAAACAAAAAAUAAUUUCUAUAGCAAAAAUAUCCAAGAAGAAGAUUAUGAAAGCUUUGAUCCCAUUGAGCCUCAAACCCAGAAAGUUGAAACCUUUGGGAGACAAUUUUGGUAUGGUGAAUACUGUUGUGGUCGGGAUAAGAAGAAAGCAGUGUAUGGAGGUGCAUGAUAGUACAACAACAUAUAAAUUUGUAUAUGCAUGCGCUCUGCUGGGCACUGUCACAUGUUGCUACAAAUUUGGCAUGAGCUCAUCUCAAUACUCUUGUCUUGUCUACUUCUCUUGCUUUGCUUCCUCAUCCUCUCUUGUCUUGUGUUGUGUUAUUUAUUAUUUUUUGUAAUUCUCUUUUGAAAUUUUAAGAUUCAAAUUAUCAUGCAUUCCCUUUUCAUAAUAAUAAGAAUAAUUAGUACCCUGAAUUUUCGACGGUACUUAAUUUUUCCCUUAAAA